rnacentral:misc_RNA from 1 species
GUAGGUGAACCUGCGGAAGGAUCAUUAUUGAAAUAAAACUCAGGUAGGGGGGGAGGUGGUUGUAGCUGGCCCCUAGUAAGGGCAUGUGCACACUGUCUCUUUCUCUUGCUUGUUUUUUUCAUUCUUUCCACUAGUGCAAUGCUUGUAGGCAGCCUGGCAUUGUUCAGGUUGUCUAUGAUUUUCUUUACAUACAUGAAUGAUUGUUGUACAGAAUGUGAUGAAAAAAAAAGUAAUACAACUUUCAACAACGGAUCUCUUGGCUCUC